rnacentral:rRNA from 1 species
CAGUCGCCACGGGAAAACAGAGGGUGCAAGCGUUAAUCGGAAUUACUGGGCGUAAGCGCGCGUAGGUGGUUUGUUAAGUUGGAUGUGAAAUCCCCGGGCUCAACCUGGGAACUGCAUCCAAAACUGGCAAGCUAGAGUAUGGUAGAGGGUGGUGGAAUUUCCUGUGUAGCGGUGAAAUGCGUAGAUAUAGGAAGGAACACCAGUGGCGAAGGCGACCACCUGGACUGAUACUGACACUGAGGUGCGAAAGCGUGGGGAGCAAACAGGAUUAGAUACCCGCGUAGUCCCUGUCUCUUAUACA